CACUCCAUCGCCAGAGUGUGUCUGCCACGGGUGGGGGAAAGGGGACACCGGAGCUGACCCCUCUUGAUGAGAGACUGGCGGCAAUUAUUGGGGAAUCCCUAUUAAGUGGAGUGGUGACUGAGGCGGAGGGGGACACUGACGCGCCAGAUGCACCAGAUGACACAGUCGCUGGGUGUUCCAGCAGGGCCAGUGGUUCAGAGGCUGCAGCUGAGCAGCCGUCUGGACCCAGCGUCUCCACGGCACGCGGCUCUCAACCCUCCAGCAGCGGACGUGUCCUCACCGAUGCAGUCCUCGAAAUGCAGAGGGAAGUCAUUAACUCAGUCAGAGAGGUGGCAAAGGAGUUGGGCGAAAUCAAGACUGUCCUAAAUGAAAUAAACUGCACAAUGAGGGAAUUCUUGAAUAAAUAAUAUAUUUUUUCCA